GGCACAGUGGUUAGAGUGCUCAGCUGUUAACUGAGAGGUUGGUGGUUCAAGCCUACC
rnacentral:tRNA from 1 species